UUAUUAUAACUCCUAAUUGAUUUAACAAUAUUUUUUAUGGGCGUAAGUAGAAGAUUUUAAAUAAUCAGUCAAUAAAGUUUAUCGAUUUCAUCAUAGAUGGCUCUAGUUUCGAUACAAACACUUUUGACGUUUCUCCAAUUUUAUUAUUGCAACAUUAUUUUAUAAUUAUUAAGCUAAAUCAAGAUAUAUCUGAAUAUAUUAUAGAGAAGAAUAUUAUAGCAGCCCGAAAUAUUUAUAUUUUUCAUAAUCGCUUAAUAAAGUUUAUCGAUACCUUCAUAGAUGGCGCUAGUUGCGAUACGAGCAAUUUUGACAGAUCUUUCAUCUUAUAAUCACAACUUUAUUUUGUAAUUAUUAAGUUAAAAUCGUGAUGUUUCUAUAUACAUUGCGCACUUGUGUGUUUAUUAUGUCUCCUAAUUGAUAUAAAAACAUUUAUUAUGAGCUCAAGUAGAAGAUUUCAACCCGAAAUGUUUACAUUUUUCUAUGAAGGUUUCAAUAACCUCAACACCAAAUGGCGCUAGUUUCGAUACAAACAAUAUUGACGUUUCUGUAAUUAUUUUAUUAAUUGUUUAAUUAAAAUCGGAAUAUUUCUAUAUAUAUUGCGUACUAGAACGAUUAUUAAAUCUCCUAAUUGAUAUAAUAAUAAUUUCUGAAAACGGAAGCAAUUUUAUAUUCUUCAUGAUUACUCAAUAAAGUGUAUCGAUUUGUUUAUGGAUGGCGCUAGUAUCGAUAGAAACAAUCUUGACGUUUCUUUAAUUUCAUGAUUGCAACUUAUUUUGUAAUUAUUAAGUUAAAACCGCGAUAUUUCUAUAUACAUUGCGAACUUGUGUGUUUAUUAUGUCUCCUAAUUGAUGUAAAAGUGGUUUUUAAUAGCGGAAAUGGAGCGUUUCAACCCGAAAUGCUUACAUUUUUCUUUCAAGAUUUUCAUAACCUCAACACCAAAUGGCGCUAGUUUCGAUACAAACAAUUUUGAC